rnacentral:lncRNA from 1 species
UUUGAAUUAAAACUUAGAGUAAUAACAUGAGAAUAGAGCAUUUAUAGGAUCUUUUAAAAAUAACUUUAACCAUGCAGGAUGAAGAUAAUGCUUACAAAGAAUAGUAGCAAGAAAUACUUCUGUUUGCUUCAAUCAUGAUUGAUCUAGCUCGAAAACGGAUGAAUGCAAUCAAAUAUGUCAAGAUUACUUAAAAAUCGUGACAACUAGUCUUAUUUAUCGGUAAACUUCAAUCUUCUUUUAGAUUUGCAAAAAACAAUAUGAUAAGACAGAGAGAUAAUCAUAAAAAAAAUUCGAAUUAUAAUUCGUGAUAUUAACUUAAUAAGAUUCCAUUAUAAUACAACUUUGUACCAAGAUAAAGUGAUAGUAUCAUAUAUUUGGAGCAUUGAUCGAGGAAAACAAGCAAAGUCAGAACAAGUAAUUACCUCCAAUUCACUAGUUGUUGAAUACGAAGCACUCCUACUUUGUCUACAAAAAAAGCCUCCGAAAAGGGACAAGAGAACAUUGUUAUAUUCCCAACUCAGGCUGUAAAGGCCAUCCAUCAUCUAUGAAGAAAAAGAAGCUUAACUGGUGCAUUAAAAAAAUAUGCAAGAAAGUUAAGAGUUUCCAAAAAGCAUUUCACAAUUGGUAAAACAAUCAAUUGGACCCUUAAAAGCUAGCUAACAAGGAGGAAUCCCAUAAAUUAGCAAAAUGUGCUUGCAGUUUCGAAUAUCUUGCACACCCAAAUUAAUUUUGUACUUCAGCUAAAUGAAUUACCUUUAUUUAACAAAAAAAGAAGAAGACAAAAGUCGAUAAAGUGGAUCUUGGACCACAACUAAAUCAUGGCGACGGCCACUUUGAUGUCUCAAAAGCUAUUCACCAACCACAAUUCAUUCACUAAUAUUUUCUAACAUUAGAUACCUGCUAAAAUUUAAGUUUCCUACUUUACCCUUCUGCCUCAAAAGCUAGCCCUCUUUAAUGACUUUAUUGUCACAGUUGAUCCCAGCGGCGCCGUCGCCACGUCGAUCUCAAACGAGUCGGAUCGGGAGAAACAGUUCGAUUACAAAAAGCCUUGCCGCCAGCACCACGAAAUCCUUCCCUGCGCACUGCUUAUUGCCGACAGUCGGUGUCUCCGUCUCGGGACCAUUAGACCACAGCACGUGCUUCAGCAGCUUCUCNNNNN